rnacentral:rRNA from 1 species
GUAGGGAAUAUUGGGCAAUGGUCGGAAGACUGACCCAGCCAUGCCGCGUGCAGGAAGACGGCCCUCUGGGUUGUAAACUGCUUUUAUCUGGGAAGAAAAAGGCCAUGCGUGGCAAAUUGCCGGUACCAGAUGAAUAAGCACCGGCUAACUCCGUGCCAGCAGCCACGGUAAUACGGAGGGUGCGAGCGUUGUCCGGAUUUAUUGGGUUUAAAGGGUGCGUAGGCGGCUGAUUAAGUCAGCGGUGAAAGACUUCGGCUUAACCGGAGCAGUGCCGUUGAUACUGGUUGGCUUGAGUGUCGGAGGGGUACAUGGAAUUGAUUGUGUAGCGGUGAAAUGCAUAGAUACCAUCAGGAACACCGAUAGCGAAGGCAUUGUACUGGCCGACAACUGACGCUGAUGCACGAAAGUGUGGGGAUCGAACAGGAUUAGAUACCCCAGUAGUCC